rnacentral:misc_RNA from 1 species
UACGUAGGUGACAAGCGUUGUCCGGAUUUACUGGGUGUAAAGGGCGUGUAGGCGGGAUAGCAAGUCAGUCGUGAAAUACCGAGGCUCAACCUCGGAGCUGCGAUUGAAACUGUUAUUCUUGAGUAUCGGAGAGGAAAGCGGAAUUCCCAGUGUAGCGGUGAAAUGCGUAGAUAUUGGGAGGAACACCAGUGGCGAAGGCGGCUUUCUGGACGACAACUGACGCUGAGGUGCGAAAGCGUGGGGAGCAAACAGG